UGAUCUGAUAUCAAAUUCGAGCAAAGGUAUAAUGUGGCUCAGAGAGGAGGGACUCAGUGUUCAUAUGAUCUUAGUGUCUGACAGACUGUGGUUGAAAGGAUUCAGUCUGACUCUUCUCAGAGUGAACAAUGGAUCUUCAUUCAGUUAUUCUGUUCUGUGCCUCAGCUGCUGCUGUUUUUGGGAAUGUCAUUAAACCAAACAAAACAGAUGUUUUUGCUGAGGAGGGUUCAAGUGUUACAUUAUCCUGUAGUUUUACUGACUCUGGAGGUUCAGAUAAUCUCCACUGGUACCGUCAGUAUGGAAGAUCAAAACCUGAAUUUCUUGUACUCAUCUACAGCAAAUCAAAAGAAGCUCAGCGGUCUGAUGUUGAUCCAAGAUUCACUGUUAAUAUUCCAAAAAGUGAACAUGUGGAUCUGGAGAUCUCCUCUGCUGCUGUAUCAGACUCUGCUCUGUACUACUGUGCUCUGGCGUCCACAGUGACAGGAAACACAUCAGCUCUCUACAAAAACCUGUUACAGUGAGAGACAAGAGAGAAACACAGAGACAGAGAUGAAUGGAAUUUUGUGCAAUAUGAAAGGUUUUCAUUACAUUAAAUUACAGUUACAUUAAAUCACUACGAAGCUGCUCUUUAAUACCUGUAAUUCAGAAAACUGUCAAACAAUAAAACAUCUCAAAUGAUUCUUAUGUGCAAUAAAUAGUGAAGGUUCAUGUAUGCCACAGGAUGGCAGUGCUCACAUAUUUUCACACAGAGUUACUGCUAUGUUUCUAAUCCUAUAUAAUAAGAGAA